rnacentral:rRNA from 1 species
GCUUGUCUCAAAGAUUAAGCCAUGCAUGUCUAAGUAUAAACAACUUUAUACUGUAAAACUGCGAACGGCUCAUUAUAUCAGCAAUUAUUUAUUUGAUGGUUUCUUACUACAUGGAUAACUGUGGUAAUUCUAGAGCUAAUACAUGCGUAAAAUCCCGACUCUCGCGGGGAGGGAUGUAUUUAUUAGAUAAAAAACCAACGCCCUUCGGGGCUCCUUGGUGAAUCAUAAUAACUUAACGAAUCGCAUGGCCUUGCGCCGGCGAUGGUUCAUUCAAAUUUCUGCCCUAUCAACUUUCGAUGGUAGGAUAGUGGCCUACCAUGGUGGCAACGGGUAACGGGGAAUUAGGGUUCGAUUCCGGAGAGGGAGCCUGAGAAACGGCUACCACAUCCAAGGAAGGCAGCAGG